rnacentral:rRNA from 1 species
UACGUAGGUGGCAAGCGUUGUCCGGAAUUAUUGGGCGUAAAGCGCGCGCAGGCGGUUCUUUAAGUCUGAUGUGAAAGCCCACGGCUCAACCGUGGAGGGUCAUUGGAAACUGGAGAACUUGAGUACAGAAGAGGAAAGCGGAAUUCCACGUGUAGCGGUGAAAUGCGUAGAGAUGUGGAGGAACACCAGUGGCGAAGGCGGCUUUCUGGUCUGUAACUGACGCUGAGGCGCGAAAGCGUGGGAGCAAACAGG